CAAAAGAUAGUUUAUUAAAAUAAUGGUUUUGGAAAUCAUUGAUAACAAGAAUUUGUUUCUUUUGA
rnacentral:tRNA from 1 species